rnacentral:rRNA from 1 species
UACUACGGCCAUGCUACCCUGAGCAUGCCCGAUCCUGUCUGAUCUCAGAAACUAAGCAGGGUCAGGCCUGGUUAGUACUUGGAUGGGGGACCACCUGGGAAGACUAGGUGCGGUAGGCA